rnacentral:rRNA from 1 species
UUUAUAUAGCAUAGAAUUAAUGCAUCGAAUCCCAUUAGAACGUCGCAGUUAAGCAUGCUUGGGAUAGAUUAGUACACGGAUGGGUGACUGCCGAGGAAGUCCUAAUGUUUUACAUGC